ensembl:lincRNA D130017N08Rik RIKEN cDNA D130017N08 gene
AGUUCUCACCCCAGCCUGAUGCCUGAGACAUAGUUGAACUUGUUUAUUAAUUCCUCCUGUGUCACAAAUUACCCCUUAACAAAUACUUUAGAGUCUCUGACAGUCCAAAUAUCAGUGUGAUUUUAUUUUUCUUCCCUUAAAAACAGAUGAGAGGGUCAAGAUAUCUACUCUGGUGUCUUGAACGUAUCUUACAGGCAUGUAAUGUUCAUUCUGUGGUCUUGAACACACAGACCAAUCUCAACAGAGUGUGCAAGGAAAGUUGGCGAGGGUGUGGCAGCCAGAAGUAACUAUUGGUGUCCUUGGAUGACCUGAAACUCACAUGGACAGGCCUGGCUUUGGACUCCUGGACAGACAGACAUACUGCCUCAGCUUCCAGAGUGUUGGGAUGAUAGGGUCCCCAUCAUGCUGUACCUGGUGGCUCUCUUUCCUUAUGCUCUCCCGCUUCAGGCCCCAUCGUGGGCGCCUCUGCUCAUGAGCCUGUAGCUCUCCCUAAUAAAGCUCUAUGAAGGGUG